rnacentral:rRNA from 1 species
GUCUACGGCCAUACCACCCUGAACGCGCCCGAUCUCGUCUGAUCUCGGAAGCUAAGCAGGGUCGGGCCUGGUUAGUACUUGGAUGGGAGAAAGAGGCUAGAGAUGCCAGCAGUCUCAGGUU